rnacentral:rRNA from 1 species
AAGGAGCCAGCGGCCGAAGGUGGGAUUAGUGAUUGGGGUGAAGUCGUAACAAGGUAGCCGUAGGAGAACCUGCGGCUGGAUCACCUCCUUU